rnacentral:ncRNA from 1 species
ACCAAAGUGUUGAAGAGGAAAAGUAGAAGAAUGACGCUUAUUAGAGAGAACCAUCACCGGCUGAAAGUGGUUCAGGCCUCUCAUUUUUCGAAAUGCGCCUCGGAGUCCCUUUGCGAAAAGGCAAUCAGUGCCUGAGUAGUAUCGGGCGGGUCCUCCCGUUAACAGGUGAAAGUUGAGGCUAUUGCUUAAGGUAGCCUAAACAGAGUGGAACCGCGCAUAUCAAGCGUCUCUGUC